GGACUACCAGGGUAUCUAAUCCUGUUUGAUCCCCACGCUUUCGAGCCUCAGUGUCAAUUCAGGCCUAGUGAACUGCCUUCGCAAUCGGUGUUCUAUUACAUAUCUAAGCAUUUCACCGCUACAUGUAAUAUUCCAUCCACCUCGACCUGAUUCAAGCUAAGCAGUAUCAAUGGCAAUUCCACAGUUAAGCUGCGGGAUUUCACCACUGACUUACAAAGCCACCUACGCUCCCUUUAAACCCAGUGAAUCCGGAUAACGCUUGCACCCUCCGUAUUACCGCGGCUGCUGGCAC
rnacentral:rRNA from 1 species